rnacentral:lncRNA from 1 species
CUGAGCUGUUGCACCUAUGUACUGAAACCUCUGAACUGUGAGCUAAAUAAACCUCCCCUUUACUUUGGGUGUUGGGUAUUUCGUCUCAGCAAUGAGAGAGGAAUAACUAACACACCACUGAUCUUUUCAGAUGAUAGGGCCCAGCAUUUGAGAGGCUGAGGCAGGAGGAUCACUAGGAAUUUGAGGCCAGCCUCAACUAUACAGAGAUGCUGUCACACACACACACAAAGAUGGUAGAAAAUAGUGAGAGUCUGGGUACCUCCCUGUUAGAACUUAGUUCCUUAAAAGGCUUUGCUCAAAGUUGAUGAGAGAGAAAAGCCAGACAGCCGGGCAUGGUGGCACACUCCUGUAAUCAGGAGGCUGAGGCAGGAGGAUCACUGAGUUCAAGGCCAGCCUAACCUGCAUAGUAAGACCUUGUCUCAAAAAAAAAAACGAAAAAAGAAAAACCAGAAACUCCCCUUUGAGCAAGCAGAAACCUAUUAAAUGAAAUAAUAAAGUUUUCUACACAGUGGCAACAAAAGCCAUAAAAUACGUCAGAAUAAACCUCAUCAAGUUACAAAAUCUUUAUGAUGAAGUGUGGCUGAACUGCAGAAUAAGGCCAAGUGAAUGGAAAACAGAAGUUACUUUCUCAGGUUACUCGACCCCAACACAGGCACAGAAACAUGAAGCCACGUGACCUCGGGUUGAAACCUCUGAAACCAUGGGCCGAAAUAAUCCUCUGAUCCUUUCAAGUUCUUCAUCUUGGGUGUUUUGUCACAGUGAUGGUCUCAUUGGUGCAGCCUCGGAAGGGAGCAAACACUGUGUGUCCACAUAGUGGAUGAGAUGGAGAACAAAAGGGAAAACAGUCGGACUCGCUUUUUAAUACCUUCCGUAAGAACGCUACUUCUACUGAUAAGCACAUAGUGCCUCUCUGCCAUGACACCCUGAGUUGGAACCUACUAUGGCUAUGGACUGAAACUUGUACAAACUGAGCUGAAAUAAACCUUUCCUCCUUCGACUUGUGGGUGUCCAGUACUCUGUCC